rnacentral:tRNA from 1 species
GUUUCUGUAGUGUAGGGGUCAUCGCGUUUGCCUAACACACAAAAGGUCCUAGGUUCGAAACCAAGCAGAAACA